AGGCAGUACCCUACAGUCAGCUGAGCACAGGAACCCGCAUCACAGGACGUCCCAAAUUUAGAUAUAAAAACAGUCUGAAAGCCAACCUUGGCGCUUGCAAGUUGGAUCACAAUACAUGGGGAAAAAAACAACCUUGGACAGACCCAAAUGGAGAAACUCUGUCAUCGAGCAAUUUCGACAUUUGAAGAGAACAGAGUCAAGUGCCUUCAGGACAAGCGAGCAUGGCACAAAGCUAAUGCCUCCAUCCAUCCCUCCAACACUGACUUAAUGUGCAAUGUUUGCAAUUGGUUAUGCAAUUGAGACUUGACCUAACAUCACACAUGAGAUGACAUCAACCUAGACUGUAAACUGGUCUUUUUCUUUGCUGACCACUCAUCUGUUGAAGCAGUAGGAGAGUCCAAGAUUGAUUAUAGUUCCACAAACCAUACAGAAUAUGCCAGUUAACAGGAUGUGGGCUUCUUACCAGGAAAAGUAAUAUGAACUUGAUGUUGAUGAUUAAAGAUUUAUGAUAGAGUAGGACAGAGGAUAAAUCAGGAGAUAAUGAGGGCAUGUGAAAAAGGCAGUACAUUAAUCAUGGGUGACUUUAAUCUUCAUAUAGAUUGGGAAAACAAAUUGACAGAGAUAGACACGCGCAAGAAUUCAUAGAGUGUAUUUGGGACAGUUUCUUAGGACAAUAUGUUGUGAAUCCAACCAGGGAUCAGGCUGUUUUAUAUCUGGUAAUGCGUAAUGAGGCAGUUUUAAUAAAUGAUCUCAGAGUAAAGGAUUCCCGAGGAGACAGUGACCAUAAUAUGGCAGAAUUUUAACAUUCAGUUUGAGAGUGAGAAACUUGGGUCAGAAACAACUGUGCUAAACUUAGAUAAGGGUAAUUGCAAUGGAAUGAGGGCGGAGUUGGCUGGAGUGGACUGGGAAAGGAGUUUAGCAGAAAAGAUGGUUGAUGAACAAUUGCAGAUAUUUAAGAAAAUAGUUCAUGACUGUCAACAAAGAUAUAUCCCAGUGAGGAAGAAGGAUUCAAGAAAGGGGAUAAAGCAACCAUGGAUAACCAGGGAACUUAAAGACAGUAUCAAAUUGGAAGAAAAAACGUACAAUGUGGCAAAGAUUAGUCAGUGGGUAUUGGCGUUUGAGAUCUUUAUACCACUGGUUCUCUUUUUCAUUUUGCUGGGACUUCGUCAGAAGAAGCCAACCAUUCCCGUCAAGGAAGUCUCAUUCUACACAGCCGCACCGCUGACGUCUGCUGGGAUACUCCCUGUGAUGCAGUCUCUGUGUCCUGAUGGCCAGAGGGAUGAAUUUGGAUUCCUGCAGUAUUCCAACUCAACGGUCACACAGCUUCUCGAGCGAAUCAAUGAGGUUGUGGAAGAGAGCAAUCUGUUCGAUCCUGAUCGGCGAGGCCUUGAAGAAGAGCUGGAAUCACUACGGCGUCAUCUGGAAUCAAUGAACAACGACCCAAGCUCAGUGGAAAACCACUUCAACAGCAGUAAAGGGUUCACCCUUGGGUCAGUUGUAAAGGAUCGGGAUGAACUUCAGAACUUCUUGACUCACAACUUGUCCAUGUCCAAUGAAACAGCUGGACUUCUACUGGGAUCAAGUGUCAAUUUGAAGGAGGUAUUCCGCCUUUGCUUUGGAUCAUAUCCUUCUGCAGUGGACAGUGGACUGGACAGUGAAAGUUGGGAUGCAUUCAAUGCUGGAGAGAAACUGCUGCGGCUCGAGGAGCAUCUACUGGGAGGCUGGAGGAAGCUGGAAGGAGGACUGAUUCAUAAGGCACUGAGUGACCCAGAAAAAGUGACGCACAGACAGAUGCUUGUCCAGUUGUUGGCUCAGGCUCUUGGUCUGGCAGGAUCCAGUAAUGCCACAGACAACUAUGAUCCAGAGGCGCUUGUUGGAGAGAUGGAGAAUAUUUUGUUCAUGCCCAAAGUAUUGGAAUACCUGACAUGUAAUGAUGAACAGGAUGACUUGCAGAAGAUCCUAGUGAUCCCUGCCUCCCAGAAGGCUUGGCUAAAUGGUUACCGGGCAGCUAUUUGUAACACCACCACCAAAGUGCGGAAGGAGCAUUUUCAGGAACUCGCCAAUAAACUUAAAAGCCAAGUGGACAUCCAAAAAAUUGCGGACAAGCUCAAGUUGAAUGAGGUGAACAGCACAGCCAUUCAGCAUCACCUUCGGGCCUUACUUGAAGACCUCAUUGAGGUGGAAAAAAUUCUGAAAGAUGUAGAUGCCUUAUCAGGACUUGCCAGGCUGCUCCCAAAGGGGGCCUGUGCUGGCAAAAGCCCACAAACUGCUGCCAAUAAUACCAGCUGGAAUGGUAACUUUACAGCCGCCAAUGCCACUUCUGAGGAGGGAGAGGAGCCUGAGACGGAAAACCCUCACACUCAGUUUUCAGCCUUUGUCCAGCUCUGGGCUGGUCUUCAACCAAUCCUCUGUGGGAAUAACAGAACGAUAGAACCGGAGGCCUUGAAACAGGGAAACAUGAGCUCACUUGGCUUCACCAGCAAGGAGCAACGCAACCUCGGACUACUGGUGCACCUCAUGACCACUAAUCCCAAAAUUCUUUAUUCACCAGUUGGCACGGAAGUGGACAAAGUCAUAGAAAAGGCCAAUGAAACGUUUGCCUUUGUUGGGAAUGUUACACACUAUGCCACAGUCUGGCUGAAUAUUUCCUCGGAAAUCCGGACAUUCCUGGAAGAUGGCAAACUACAGGAUCGCAUCAGUUGGCUGCAGCAGUUUACCUCCGAUCUGAAAAAACACCCGGAAGUCUUGAACGCCUCCGAUAGCGACAUCAUCAGGAAUUUUAUCAACAGCAACUUCUCCAUGCCAAACUCCAGCACGUUGCUCCAACAGCUGGACACCAUUGACAAUGCAGCCUGCGGCUGGAUCCAGUUCAUGUCCAAGGUGAGUGUGGACAUCUUUAAAGGUUUCCCCAAUGAGGAGAGCAUAGUGAACUACACCUUAAGCCAGGCAUAUCAGGAUAAUGUCACAGUGUUUGCCAGUGUGAUAUUUCAGACGAAGGAGGAUGGCACACUGCCCCCUCACGUUAUGCUGAAGAUCCGCCAAAACUCCAGCUUUACAGAGAAAACCAAUGAGAUUCGCAGGGCCUAUUGGAGGCCAGGGCCGAACACUGGAGGGAGAUUCUAUUUCCUGUACGGAUUUGUCUGGAUACAAGAUAUGAUGGAACGGGCCAUUAUCAACACAUUUGUGGGUCAUGAUGUGGUGGAGCCUGGAAACUAUGUCCAGAUGUUUCCCUACCCUUGCUACACCAGGGAUGACUUCCUGUUUGUGAUUGAACACAUGAUGCCCCUCUGCAUGGUUAUUUCGUGGGUGUAUUCUGUGGCCAUGAUGAUUCAGCACAUCGUCGCAGAGAAGGAACACAGACUAAAAGAGGUCAUGAAGAUGAUGGGGUUGAACAAUGCCGUCCACUGGGUGGCCUGGUUCAUCACAGGCUUUGUACAGCUUUCCAUCUCUGUGACUGCACUGACAGGCAUCCUGAAAUAUGGCAAAGUCCUGAUGCACAGCGAUCCUUUUAUAAUCUGGCUGUUCCUCACAAUCUAUGGCAUAGCUACCAUCAUGUUCUGUUUCCUGAUCUCUGUGGUCUACUCCAAGGCAAAGCUAGCCUCGGCGUGCGGUGGGAUCAUUUAUUUCCUCAGCUAUGUUCCGUACAUGUACGUGGCUAUCCGUGAGGAGGUGGCUCAUGAUAGGAUCACCGCAUUCGAGAAAUGCAUUGCGUCCCUCAUGUCCACAACUGCAUUUGGGCUUGGUUCUAAGUACUUUGCACUCUAUGAGGUGGCAGGUGUUGGAAUUCAGUGGCACACCUUGAAUCAGUCACCAGUAGAAGGAGAUGACUUCAACCUACUCCUCUCCAUGGUUAUGCUGAUCGUCGAUGCCACUGUCUAUGGAGUACUAACAUGGUACAUCGAGGCUGUUCAUCCAGGAAUGUACGGACUGCCCAGACCAUGGUACUUUCCAUUUCAGAAAUCCUAUUGGUUGGGCAACGGACGAAUUGAAACAUGGGAAUGGUCCUGGCCCUGGUCUAGAAGCAGUCGGCUCAGCAUCAUGGAGGAUGAUCAGGCCUGUGCAAUGGAGAGCAGGAGGCUGGAAGAAACUCGUGGAAUAGAGGAAGACCCAAGCCAUUUGCCCCUAGUAGUGUGCAUUGACAAGCUGACCAAAGUCUACAAGACUGGGAAGAAGCUGGCUUUGAAUAAGCUGAGCCUCAACUUGCAUGAGAACCAGGUGGUGUCAUUCCUCGGACACAACGGUGCCGGCAAAACCACCACAAUGUCCAUUCUGACAGGAUUGUUCCCACCCACUGCUGGUUCAGCCACGAUUUAUGGGCAUGAUAUUCGAACAGAAAUGGAUGAAAUCCGGAAGAACCUAGGCAUGUGCCCUCAGCACAAUGUACUGUUUGACAAAUUGACAGUGGAGGAACACCUCUGGUUUUACUCACGUUUGAAGGGAAUGGCUGAGGAUGAGAUUCGCAAAGAAAUGGACAAGAUGAUUGAAGACUUGGAACUCUCGAAUAAGCGGCACUCUCUGGUGCAGACGUUGUCUGGAGGAAUGAAACGCAAGUUAUCCGUUGCCAUCGCGUUUGUUGGGGGAUCCAAAGCAGUUAUCUUAGAUGAACCCACAGCAGGGGUUGAUCCAUAUGCUCGUCGAGCUAUCUGGGACCUAAUCCUAAAGUACAAACAAGGCCGGACUAUCCUCCUGUCUACACAUUACAUGGAUGAAGCUGAUCUUCUCGGAGACCGCAUUGCAAUAAUCUCACAUGGAAAAUUGAAGUGCUGUGGGUCGCCUCUGUUCCUCAAAAGCACCUAUGGGGACGGCUACAAGCUGACAGUGGUGAAGCAGCAGCCUGACUCUCAGACUAGCCCAGAUUCAGACCAAGACCUCAGUCCUUCAUCACGCUCCUCCUGCUUGGAGACCAAAGUCAGCCAGUUUAUUAAAAAGUAUGUUGUGUCCACUAUACUGAUCUCAGACACCAACACUGAGAUAUCUUACAUUCUGCCAUCGGAAGCCGUAAAGAAAGGAUGCUUUGAGAGACUUUUCCAGGCCUUGGAUCUGAACCUGGAGGACCUGAAUUUGACUAGUUUUGGUUUAAUGGACACCACACUGGAGGAGGUUUUUCUGAAAGUUUCUGAAGAAGAUCAGUCAUUGGAGAACAGUGACAUAGAUGACAAAGAUUCAGGGAAGGAAGCCUUGCAGACACCACAAAUGAACAAUAAAAAUGGUCGCCACAAAGACACCCCUCCAAAAGAAGGUACAAACACUCUGAAAGUGAACGUGAGCAAUUUGGUCACCUGCGCGAGGCUAAGCCAAUCCCAGUCCUCUGUGCAUUCCUCCUCUUCUGUUGGUUCUGUUCGAGGUGAUGAGAUGGGCGGUUAUUCCGAAUUCUAUGGAGACUAUGCACCGCUCUUUGACAACCUGAACGACCCAGACAACCUCAGUUUACAAGCAGAACCAGAACCUGACCUGAAGAGCUUUGUCCUGGAGGGUCAAGGAAGUACCAAACUGGAGGGUUCCUGGCUGAAACUGUGCCAGUUCUAUGGGCUGAUAGUGAAGCGUUAUCACUGUGCCAAACGCAACACUAAGAGUCUUUUCUCCCAGAUCCUGCUCCCAGCGUUCUUUGUGUGUGUGGCAAUGACGGUGGCUCUCUCAGUCCCUGAAAUAGGUGACUUGCCUCCUCUGAUUCUUUCUCCAUCUCAGUACCACAAUUAUACCCAACCUCGAGGAAACUUUAUACCAUAUGCAAAUGAAGAGAGAAAUGAGUACAGGAUAAAGUUAUCACCUGAUGCCAGCCCUCAGCAACUGACAAAUACCUUCUAUCUACCCUCGGGGAUUGGAGCUACCUGUGUCCUGAAAACUCCGUACAACAGCACAUUAGACCAGCUUGUGCAGACCCUCAAUCUUUCGACCAGCGAGACCAAGAUGCUGGCCUCCAAAUACUUUGACUCAAUGUGCCUGGACUCAUUCACUCAAGGCCUCCCACUCUCGAAUUUUGUCCCACUGCCCCCGUCACCUGCUCCAUCAGAUUUUCCUGACAUGGGAAUAGAUGAAGGAAUGCACACAUGGAAUUUGACAACAUCACCGGUUACAAUGAAAGAAACAUUUACAUCAUCUCCUUCAGUUCCACGUCCCAUACACGAACCAGUUCGAUGCAGCUGCUCAAUGCAAGGAACAGGGUUCUCCUGCCCAAGUGGGGUUGGAGGUCACCCACCACAGAAGAAAGUAGUGACGGGUGAUAUUUUGGUGGAUAUUACAGGCCGCAAUGUUUCCGAGUACAUUCUGCACACUUCCGACCGCUUCCGACUUCACAGGUAUGGAGGGCUGACAUUUGGCAAUGUGCUCAAAUCUAUCCCAGCGUCCUUCAGUACAAAGGCUGCUCCAAUGGUGCGGAAGAUUGCAGUGAGGAGAACUGCACAGGCAUUUUACAACAACAAGGGUUAUCACAGCAUGCCAACCUAUCUGAACACCCUGAACAAUGCCAUUCUCCGAGCCAACCUGCCCAAGAGCAAGGGCAACCCUGCAGGAUAUGGAAUCACAGUGACAAACCAUCCAAUGAACAAGACCAGUGCCAGCUUGUCCCUCGAUUACCUUCUGCAGGGCACAGAUGUGGUCAUUGCCAUCUUCAUCAUUGUGGCCAUGUCCUUCGUCCCUGCCAGCUUUGUGGUGUUCCUGGUGGCAGAGAAGUCGACCAAAGCGAAACACCUGCAGUUUGUGAGUGGAUGUGACCCUGUGAUCUACUGGCUGGCCAACUACGUCUGGGACAUGCUGAAUUAUUUGGUACCAGCGACCUGCUGCAUCAUCAUACUCUUUGUGUUUGAUCUGCCAGCCUAUACUUCACCCACCAACUUCCCAGCAGUACUCUCACUCUUCUUGCUAUAUGGUUGGUCAAUCACUCCAAUCAUGUAUCCAGCUUCCUUCUGGUUCGAGGUUCCCAGUACAGCCUAUGUUUUCUUGAUUGUCAUCAACCUCUUCAUUGGUAUCACAGCGACGGUUGCCACAUUCCUGCUUCAACUCUUUGAGCAUGACAAGGAUCUGAAAGCUGUGAAUGGCUACCUGAAAUCCUGUUUCCUCAUUUUCCCGAAUUAUAACCUGGGCCAUGGACUGAUGGAAAUGGCCUACAACGAGUACAUCAAUGAAUACUACGCAAAAAUAGGCCAGUUUGGCAAAAUGAAAUCCCCUUUUGAAUGGGACAUCGUGACACGAGGCCUAGUUGCCAUGACAAUAGAAGGGUUUGUGGGAUUCUUCAUCACUAUCAUGUGCCAGUAUAACUUCUUCAGAAAGCCACAACGCUUACCAGUUUCUAACAAGCCAAUAGAAGAUGACGAUAUUGAUGUGGGGAAUGAGAGGCGACGUGUGUUGCGAGGAGAUGCAGACACCGAUGUUCUUAAAAUUCAGAACCUGACAAAGGUGUACAAGUCACGUAGGAUGGGCCGGAUCCUGGCAGUGGAUCGCUUGUGUGCUGGUGUGCGUCCUGGAGAAUGCUUUGGGUUACUGGGAGUGAACGGAGCUGGGAAGACAACAACAUUCAAGAUGCUGACAGGGGACGAGAGUACAACUGGUGGCGAGGCCUUUGUGAAUGGAAACAGUAUUCUCAAGGACCUGCUAAAAGUGCAGCAGAGUAUUGGGUACUGUCCACAGUUUGAUGCACUUUUCGAUGAGCUGACCGCCCGGGAACACAUGGAGCUCUACACCAGGCUACGCGGAGUCCCCUGGAAAGAUGAGGAGAGGGUUAUAAAUUGGGCACUUGAUAAACUGGAACUCACAAAAUAUGCGGACAAGCCUGCGGGAACAUACAGUGGAGGCAACAAACGGAAGCUGUCUACUGCCAUUGCUCUGAUUGGCUACCCUUCUUUAAUUUUCCUGGAUGAGCCAACAACAGGAAUGGAUCCCAAGGCACGCAGAUUUUUAUGGAACCUGAUUCUCGAUAUCAUAAAGACUGGACGCUCAGUGGUGCUGACAUCACAUAGCAUGGAGGAGUGUGAAGCACUGUGCACAAGACUCGCCAUCAUGGUAAACGGACGGUUCAAGUGUCUUGGCAGCAUCCAGCACCUGAAAAACCGGUUUGGCGAUGGCUACAUGAUCACUGUCCGCACAAAGUCCAGCCUGUACGUGAAAGAAGUUGUCCGCUUUUUCAACAGAAAUUUCCCUGAAGCAGUUCUAAAGACUUCUUUUGUUCUAGGAGAGACACCAUACCAAAGUGCAGUAUCAGCUGAAGUCAGAAAACAUCUCGCUGGCCCAGGUUUUCAGUAAGAUGGAGCAAGUAGUCGACGUAUUAGGAAUUGAAGAUUAUUCUGUCAGUCAAACCACACUGGACAAUGUGUUUGUAAACUUUGCAAAGAAGCAGAGCGACAACCUGGAGCAGCAGGAAACUGUCAGCACAGGGAGCGUGCAGUCACCGAUCAAGCGUAUCCUCAGUCUGCUGCGGCCGAGGGGCACCACGACAGAACUACAGGCCCUGACUGUUGAAGAGCCCGAAGAGUUAGAGAGUGAUGACGAAGGGCUAAUCAGCUUCGAGGAGGAGCGUGCUCAGCUUUCAUUCAACACGGACACACUGUGCUGAGUGGAUGAAAUCCCAUGAAGAUUUCAAUUGCUGACGACCGUGUACAGGACUUUUGAGAACUUUGCAUCAUCCUAGCACAAGACUAAAGGCAGUGCUGGGAAAAGGGGGUAGGGGAUAAGGUGGUGGAAAUGACCAUCUGUGUGGUCAAUAGUUCCUUCGAGUUGAAGUAAUUCUUCGGAGGAGACAUUAAACCCAUUAACCAACAGAGAACGCUGCUUCGAUGGUGCGAGCGGUUUUGGUACCCAUGCAUUGCUUCUGGGUCGUUUUGGCGAAGUAGAUCUCCAAUGAACAUUGAGUGUUGCAUUUUAUUUAAUGCAGAGCUGUUUUAUUUUGGUGCACUGUCAAAGACAUAGUGUAUAAUACCUGUCUGCUUUGUAUUGGAAUAUUUAAAAAUUAUUUUUAAAAGUGUAGAAGUGAAGAGCAAAUAAUUAGGGUCCUUAUUUUCAAUUACAAAAGCAUUGUAAACACUCAGAUAUUUAAGCCUUGUCAUUGCAACAAAUGCAUGAAAUUAUCCAAUAUAUCCAGGGUCCAUAUGGCCUAUAAGCUGUACAAUGAAAUCCAGACUACAAAUUAGGCCUAACCUUGAAAAACUUAAGUGCAACACCAUUUAGUGUACAUAACAGUAACUCAAAUGCUAAGAGCGAGCUUGAAUUACUAUUAGUGUUUGUUGGACAGUAACCUGGUACGUUAUAGGGAGGGACUGAUGGCAGUCCAGCUUUCGUUAAAUGAUUAGGAUUUAUAAUUUCAGAUUGAAAAAAAGACAUGAUCUGAGCAAUGUUCUAGAAAUUAGAAUUUGCUUAUAAUUUUUCAAAUUCUAUUUCUAGAAAAAUACAUAUGUAAGUGCAUUUUUGCCCCUUUGACUAAAACCAACAUGACUAUUUAUAAAUAAGACAUAUCAUUAGAAUUUUUUGAGCCCACCCAUGUGCUAUGGCUUAGAUUUUCGAAACAAAGCAAGGGCAAACCAAAAUCUUACUGUUACCCUGGUGCUAACAUUGUCCCUAAUUUUUCUUGCCCCGUCACCUUUCUUAGAAACCAUAAUAAGACCUCCAUGUGCUUGGCUAUUCUCUUCAUGUUAACAUAUUAUUGAAGUCAAGCGAACCCUUGACUUGAUUUAUUCCAUCUCGCAGUGAUCACUCACACCAAAUAAGCAAGGAAUAAAACGCUCAAUGUCAACAGAACAAACUAUGUGGUACAGGAUAAUGUAUGUUAUUAUUUUCCAAGGAUGACUUUUGUUGACUGACUGAUCUUUGUCCUGAAGCGGAUUUUGCAAAAUGGUUCUGGCACACUUUGGAUGAUAUAUUUACUUUAAUUUGUGUUUCUUUAUUGUUGAUCUUGUAAAUGUUUCAACAGAUACACGUUUGCCACAACCCAUGCAAGUACCAGUUAGGCUGAAGUAAAGCACAGAAGUGUAAUAGAAAACGAAUGUAGGUCCUUUUGGCUAUAAAAUAAGAUGUAAUGUUCAUCUAACCCUAUUAAAAUAUUUUAAACUUUAUUACACUCGAACUUCAGUGUAUCCCUCAGCAGCUAACAUGGAUAUAAAUUCAUAUUAAAAGGAAAUACUGCCAUAACUUCAGACAUAAGAUCAAAGAACAAGCUGAGCCAAGGCUCACAUGCAAGUGAUGGUAUGACCAGAGGAGACCUGAUCUUUCCAGUUAAAGCAAUGCUUCCCACUCCAUUCAGAACCGUGCAUGUCAAAAAAUCUGAGUGUUUACAAUGAGCUGCAGUACAAGGACUGUGACUUCUCUUGAAGGUGUUUUAUUUAAAAUAAGCAUAAGCAACACAACAAAGGAUGUAAUUGUAACCUUAAACUGCUGUUAUUAGAGGUGGACAGUCAGUACUAAUGCCCCUGAUUAUUAUAAAUAUUCUAAACAGAAAGCACCAAGAUCUAACUCACAUUUCAGAUGGAUGCUUUGUCUUUUUUUUUUAAAUCCUAAAGCAUUUCCCACAGUGAUCUUAAUAUCAAAGUGAUAUUCAUGUUGGCCACCAAUUCUAUUGAAGUGCUGAGAUAAAGUGACCUGAGGUGAAUGCCUGUUUCCACCUUCAAUGCUUGACUGUCAGUUAGCCAUAUGGGUGUGACUAUGUGGCUGACCCUCUCAUCUGAUGGUGACCUCGGAUACUGGAAGCACCCAAGUACCUGGCAGACAAUUGAAGCAGCCAAGAGACAUAAAUGAGCCUCUGAUUACUGCAUCUCAGUCAUUCCAUGGAACCGGGGAGUGCCUUUUUCUCUUUUAUUUUUAAAAGCUAGUACUUUUGGUCAGUCAGAGCUUUGGAAUUAAAUUAUGAAAUUGUGGACCGGGAGGAAAGACGGCGUUUUAAGUUAAUUUUUAUCUUUCAGUACAUCUCCAUGUCAAGCUGUGCAAUGAAAAUAAAAAAUAAUCAGCAAGGAUUUUUUUUUUUGUAUUAAUAGAACUUAACUUGCAUUGUUAAUUUUGACCUUACCUGAAAAGGAAGAGUUAAAAAGGUUCAAUGAAAGUAACUUGAAAUUUA